GCCAGACUCCUACGGGAGGCAGCAGUGAGGAAUAUUGGUCAAUGGUCGGGAGACUGAACCAGCCAAGCCGCGUGAGGGAUGAAGGUACAGAGUAUCGUAAACCUCUUUUGUCAGGGAACAAAGGCGGGGACGCGUCCCCGGAUGAGUGUACCUGAAGAAAAAGCAUCGGCUAACUCCGUGCCAGCAGCCGCGGUAAUACGGAGGAUGCGAGCGUUAUCCGGAUUUAUUGGGUUUAAAGGGUGCGCAGGCGGAGGUGCAAGUCAGCGGUCAAAUUGCGGGGCUCAACCCCGUACUGCCGUUGAAACUGCAUCCCUUGAGUGCGCGAGAAGUAUGCGGAAUGCGUGGUGUAGCGGUGAAAUGCAUAGAUAUCACGCAGAACUCCGAUUGCGAAGGCAGCGUACCGGCGCCCAACUGACGCUCAUGCACGAAAGCGUGGGUAUCGAACAGGAUUAGAUACCCCGGUAC
rnacentral:rRNA from 1 species